AGCAGCAUGGCGCAGUCUGGAAGCGCGCGGGGCCCAUAUUCUCUGGUGACCCCGAGGUCACUCGAUCGAAACGAGUUGCUGCUA